UGGACAGCUUGCAGACGAUUUUUUUUUUUUUUUUCACUUAACUGCUAGAACGAGGCUCGUGACCUCAGAACUUCCGGUUACGCCUGCCAUUUUACUAUGUCAGUAAAAUCUGCAAGAGUAACUGGUAGAAUGCCACUGUGCGAGUAUCAAAUCUUUCUGUUUAAGCGUUUUUUCGCUUCCGCAGGCAGGAAUAUGGACAGAUCAAGACAAGUGGCGAACGGCUCUCAUUCAUGCAAUAAACCGUUCAGACAAAAAUUUCAAUCCAUUGACAGCCAAGAUUUGUUCAAGGCACUUUGAAGAAGAAUGCAUUAAAAAAGGACCUUCUGGAAGAAUCAUGGGACUAGUUCCUGGGAGCAUGCCAACUAGAUGAAUGCCUAAAAAAUCCUUUGAAACUCCCAAAACAGCUAGACCCAAGCCUAAGGUGCAUGAGCCCCCUGUCGUGCCAGUUCGUAUUGCCUACACCAGCUUCAUGGACAUGAAGAAGGAUUUGACACAUCAUUCUGCCUCCUGAGUGGAUUAUUAUGAAAAAUUCUGAUGAUGCUGUCGUUCUUGGCUUGUUGUCAAGUAAAACUGAAGAAGUGUAUGUGAAGAAAAGAAUGGGGAAAAUCAGUGGAGCCAUCCUUCUACUUAUGGAUACUUAUGCCAAACAUAAGGAACAAUUCGCACUUCCUACUAUGAAGAAAAUAGAGGUGUGGAAGAGGAUUGCCUCUGAAAUGGCAGCCUCAGGAUGCCACUUUGCUCCAGCAGCAAUUGAGAAGAAAUGGAGCAAUAUGAAAAUACGGUAUAAAGCAAUAGUAGACUCGAACAAGAAAACGGGCCAGGGAAGAACAAGGUGGAAUUACUAUUCCAGAAUGGCCGAAAUCUUGUAGGGAGACCCUUCAGUCAUUCCACCAGUGACAAUAUCAUCACUGGGGGGGUGUAAAAGGUCAAUGAACCAUUUAUAGCAUAAGCAAGCAAAUAAAGCAUAGUUUUAGUAUUGCCAUAUUUAGUAAAACAUUUGUUUAUUGUUUCUUUUCCUACAGGUAUUUGGUGAGGGUAAUGACAAAAGUCUGUUCUGCCACAAAGAGAUGAGUCUAGAUAUGUAAAAAGCUCAGUUAGGAACUUUUUGUAUGCAUGUACUGUUCCAGCAAGAGCAGUUACCAUGUGCAUACAGGCCAGACAUAUUUGGAUUUUCCAUGCCUAUAGAUGGGUCAUAAUUCAUUUACAUUUAUUUUUCAGUAAGCACUCUCUCAGAGAUUACCAAUACCCAGAAAUGUGCCACCCCUCCAAAGGAGCAAGAACAGCAAAGAAAGUCUAUGGAGACUCCAGGAAACGGAAGAGACCGAAUAAUGAAUCGUCAGAGCAGCUUCAGAGUUGUCAUGUAAGGAACCUGGCAGUGCAGGAAGAGAUAAUGGCGGAGGAGAGACAAAGAAUAGAAUUGGAUAGACAAAGAACAGAAUUGGAUAGACAAAGACUAGAAUUUAUGAGAAACACGGAGAUAGAACAGAAUUUAUGAGAACCAUGGAGACACAAAGAACGGAAUUGCAUAGACAAAAAACAGAAUUGAUGAGAAACACGGAGAAAGAAAGAACAGAAUUUAUGAGAAACCUGGAGACACAAAGAACAGAAUUAUUAGAAAAAUUAGUCAAGCACCUAACGAAGAGUUAGAAAAAUUUUUUCUUUGAGAUUUUUCCAUAUAUUUAGUUUGUCUUUUGAUUUUAGAAGUUUGCGAUUCCUUUUAGUUUACAAAUUAUUCAGUACACAAAUUUAAUUCUUCUGAAUGAAAUGCUUUUUGAAUGCGACAGCAAAAACUCCAAAUGGAAUGAUUUACAGUGAAUGUGUAUCCAUUGUAAAUGCUUAUGUGAGAUGUAUUACAUACAGGCUGAAAGUUGUAAAUUCUAACUCCCUUCCCAUUACAUUUCCAAAAUAAGUGUAACUAUGUUGUAAGUAUGCACGGUAAUCACAAUGCCACUUGGGUUAAUAUUGUGUUAGCAACAUGAGUUUCGAUGUAUUUGGGGUGGGCAAGUUGAGGGAUUCUUAAGAGAUUUCAAGCUGAGACUUGUAUAGACUGUUUUCUACAGCUUUUAGUCAUCUUUAGUCCGAAGUACUUUCUUAAUUGACAGUAAGGGCACUAUAUGUAUUUUGUACUUUAACUCAAUUCCGCCUACUAUCCCAACAUUGGUUACGGGCACGACCCUACCAAAUAAAGGACAUUGCUUUGAUUUUAGUACUCAAUAAAAACUUACACGCCCUUACAAA